AACUUUCAGCGAUGGAUCUCUUGGUUCUGGCAUCGAUGAAGAACGCAGCGAAAUGCGAUAAGUAAUGUGAAUUGCAGAAUUCAGUGAAUCAUCGAAUCUUUGAACGCACAUUGCGCCCCUUGGUAUUCCGGGGGGCAUGCCUGUUCGAGCGUCAUUUCAACCCUCAAGCCUAGCUUGGUCUUGGGCUCUGCCGGCAGCGGCUGGCCUUAAAAGCAGUGGCGGUGGCCAUCGAGCUCUACGCGUAGUAAUUGAAACCCUCGCGUGUGAGUGCCGGUGGACGCUUGCCAGCAACCCCCAACUUCUAUGGUUGACCUCGGAUCAGGUAGGGAUACCCGCUGAACUUAAGCAUAUCAAUAAGCGGAGGCU
rnacentral:misc_RNA from 1 species